UGAUGACGGAUUAAUAUUUUGCAGGUAAAAGCUGGAUCAGUUUUUUACAACAUUUUGAUAUGCGAUGACCCCCAGUAUGCAAAGGAAGUUGUUGAUGAUACGUUUGCAAGAAAUAAGGAGGCUGAAAAGGAAGCUUUUGAGGAAGCAGAAAAAGAAAGGAAGGCUAGGGAAGAAAAGGAGGCUCAAAGGGCUCGAGAGGAAGGUGAAAAGAGAAGAAGGGAGCGAGACUAUCGUCAUAGAGAUAGGAGGCGGCAUUAUCGAAGGGUAUAUCUCUAGCUGAACAUAUCUCAUCUAUAAUUUAUCAUCUACAUUGCUCCCUUUUGAACUU